UAGACGAGAUCCUGGGCGACAUAAUCAAGGAGCAUGAGGGCAAGGCUUCCGCGAGCAGGGGCGACAAAGCUGGAGAGGUAGACGACCUAGUGGACGUGCUGCUGAGGCUCAAAGAUGACCCCCAACUGGAAGUGCCCUUGACGAUGGAAAACGUCAAGGGUGUGAUCGUGGUGAGGAACGAUCCAUCCAUCGAUCGAUUCCCGUGAUACUAAUCUAUUGACUACCCACAUCGCUCUUGUUCUUGUGAUCUACAGGACAUGUUCGUGGCGGGCACCGAGACGUCAUCGACCGUCGUCGAAUGGGCCAUGUCGGAGCUGAUGAGGAACCCCGAGAUCAUGGAGAGAGCGCAGAAGGAAGCGAGGGAAUUAGCUGCGCAACGGAGGAACAUAAUAGAGGAGAGCGACAUCUCCGAGCCAAACUACAUGAAGCUAAUCAUCAAGGAGACGCUGCGGCUUCACCCGCCGGCCACGCUGUUACCGAGACUGUGCAGGGAGACCUGCGAGGUCAUGGGAUACAGGAUAGACGACGGCACUCGCGUCUUCGUCAACGCAUGGGCGAACGGCAGGGAUGCGCGUUACUGGGACGACGCCGAGAGCUUCAAGCCAGAGAGGUUCCAAGGCAGCGCCAUGGAUUUCAAGGGAGUCGAUUUCGACUACUUGCCGUUCGGGGCCGGGCGGAGGAUAUGCCCCGGAAUCGGGUUCGGGAUGGCCACCGUGGAGCUCGCCCUGGCUCACCUCCUCCUGCACUUCGACUGGGAGCUGCCCCAUGGAAUGAGACCGGAGGAGCUCGACAUGUGCGAGACCAUGGCGUUUGUCGCACCGAGGAAGACGGAGCUGAAGCUGAUCGCUACCAUUCGAGUUCCUAUCCCCAUCGCUACCUGAAGCUUUCUUGUUGGCGCAUUUAUUAUUAAGUGAAGGAUCUAAAUCAAAGAACAAUAAAUCUAAGAAUUAUAAUGCAUUCCUUUCGGUUGAGAAAAAUCUUCUCUACAAACACAACUAGAUUAGUAUUUUUCUCUCUUUCUACCAUUCACUUCUCUUUAAUCUCUAUUAAAUUAUUAUAUAUAUAUAUAUAAGUAAUUAGUAAAAUUUCUCUAAGAUAAUCUCUAAAUAAAUUUUAUUAUAAUUAAAAUUUCUUUUUGUUGAUCGACAAUCGAAUUCAAUCAUACUUAUAAUAUAAUUAGAUGUCUGUCUUUCAUAAAGUGUCAACUUCUCAUAAGUUGAAAAGAUAUAGACUAAGUAUAGAUAGGAAUGAGAGGAAGACAAUUAGCUUAUAGAAAUAUACAUCUGUUGUAGGAAAUAAUGUUGCCACGAAAUAAUUUUAGAUGUGAUUGAUGUAUAUAGAUAAAACCAUAUGCCUCCCAAGAAACAUGCACUUUACUACGUUCCAGAUGACUGUGUUGGAUUUCUCCUAUAGGCAGAUAUAUAUAGAUAAACAAUGUGUUCAUGUCAAUCAGCAAGAAAAGACAACUACUUAAAUAAAAUUGGGUUCUCAAAUGGACGAGGGUGUCUAUACUCCAUCUGAUUCUAUACAUCUUUAGAUCAUCGAAGUAUUGUACUUAUGGAUAAUAUUAGAUUCUCAUUAGAUUUUAGUGGCUUUGAUCAAAUCAAUUGACCAUUGUUGCCAAGAUGUCAUUUUCAAAGAUUUUUUCUUCUUUUAUUGUAGGAAAAUAUUCUAGAAUGACAACUUUUAGUUUCAUUUUUGUUUAGGAGAGAUGUUUUUCCCACACAAAAAAGAGAGACGCUUAAAAUCUAUGAUCACUAGAACACCACUGAGAUAAGGAAUUGCUUCUCAAAGAAAGCAACAAAAACACACAAACAAAUAAAUUUCGUGAAAAAAAUAUGAUCAUGACACGUCGAGCUCGUCUGCGUUAGGACAAUUAUGAUCAAUAUUUGUUUUCACAGUUUGCAUUGAUGCUCGACACAAGCAUCAAUGGCUACACACUGCAAUUUGCACAGUUGUUUUCGUUAAUACUGAGUCUGCUAAUUGAUGCAAAUUGUCAUUGCAAAGCUCAUUCCUGGCCUGUUCGGUCUCUCGAGGCCUGUAGACAACAUCACAAAUGCAUUUACAGCUCACAUCGGUGACCAUCACAGUGAAGUAACGGAAUUGGAACCGAGGAGGAAGAGAGCUCGCCUUCUGUAUCGGUUAUGGACAAGUGUAACCAGAGGGUUGAAGUCCUCGAAGACACUGUCCUCCCACUCUAUUGCUGAAAUGAUGUCUGCCAAAUGUAAUUCUCGUCCUGCCACACGACCUCCUUAUCAGUGCUGCAAUUCUCGUCACUCCUCUCCGCGGAGUUCCAUCUACGUGCAUCUUCCUCGUCUUUUCCAUCACCAAGUACUAGCUCGACCGCCUUGGAAGCCCUUGGUUGGAAUAUAUAUAUAUAUAUAUAUAUAUAUAUAUAUAUAUAUAUAUAUAUAUAUAUAAAAUUGACUUUUCUGUAAAACUUCAAGGAGAAUAGGAAGAGAAUAGUAUAAUAAACCACGAGUACUUUCAAUUAGUAGUGCUUUUGACUGACUGAUCAAAGACCACCUAUUUAUAUUAACUAAAAGAUAAAAUAUUUUUUUUAAUUAUAAAAAAUAUUAUAUCCCAAUAAAUCUUUUCACCCUCAUCUAUUUAUUUAAAUCUAAAUUCUUCUAUUUUAUUUUAUCUAUUCCUAAUUAUUUGAAUUAAUCUUAUCACACCCCUUUAAUUCAAAAGGGUUAUAACUUGAAGAUCUCUUGAAAAAAAUAAAAUUAUUAUUUAUUUUUUUAUCAUCCUCAUAGUUGCUAUUAAUUUAUCAAUUUUCUUAUCAUAAAUCAAGUAUUUUUCAUUUUAAAAAUAGCAUAACAUUAUUUUCUCAUCACUUCCUAUACUAAUGAGAUUUUAUUUUAAAUUAUAAAUAAACAUCGCAUCAUCAAUGAAUUUUUUACCAAAUCUGGUGUUCACGUUAAUUGUUCCUUUCCCUUUAACUUGAACUUUACUGUCAUUUCUCAUUUGUACUAUAGAUCAAAUUGAAUUAUCAAGGAACAACUUUAGUCCUCUGUCAUAUAAUAAAGAUACGGAGUAUUCUUUAUUAAAUGCUAUAAGGAAAAUAUUUUCUUUAUCCUUUUUAUCGUUAUUAUUUUCCUCAUGAUAAUUUGUUUGAGUUUUGUUCUAAUAUUUUUUUUAGAUGACCAUAUAUCUUUUUCAAGAUGACCAUAUUUUUUUUACGGUGAGAGCAGAGAGGAAUAUUUAGUUUUUUAUUUUUUAUUUUUUCAAUAUAUUUAAUUUUUUUAUAAUAAAAAUAUUGACGUGUUUCUUUAUUACCUACAUUAGAAUUCCUCUAACCAUCAUAUAAUUGGCAUUGUUCUUUACCAUUUUGAUCUUUCUCUUGAGAUCUAGUUUUUUACUUUUUCUUUUGGUCUUCUUUUGAUGUAUCUUUAUGAAGGGCUCUAAAGUUUCAUGUGAAGAUUAUUCACUUUUUAUUCAUGGACUAAAAGCAAGCCUAUUAAUUCAUCAACAGAUAAUAUACUUGUACCUUUAGCUUCUUCUAUAGCUAGUAGAAAUAAUAUCAAAUUUUGAAGAUCUUUUAAAUUUUAUUAAACUUUUUCUACUACAAUUUGAUCUUUUAAAUUUUCACCAUAAAAUCUCAUUUGUUUCAUAAUAGAAGAGACUUAAAAAAAAAAAAACCAAUGAUAGAUUAAGAAUUUUUCUUCAUAAGAGCUUCAAAUUGACGCUGAAGAAUUUGAAGUUUUGAAACUUUUACCUUAUUUCUGCCUCCAAACAUACUUUUUAAUAAUUUUCAAGUUUUUAUUGAUAUUGAUAUUAUCAUGAUUUGAGGAAAUAGAAGCUCAUCUAUUGCUUGUUGUAGCAUGUAGAAGGCUAUUACAUCUUUUUGCAUGUUCUUAUUCAUUUGAUCUUUUCGAUCUUCAAUAAUAUUAGGAUUAUAUAGAUCAUACUCAACAAAACUAUUCACUACUAAAUUUUACAAUCCUUGUGAAAUUUUACAAUAAUAUUAGCCUCCUUUUUGCCUCCUCUCGACGUAGGACGAACGCCCACGGCAGCGGAGGAGAAGGAUGAGCAGAUCAAAACCAGAGAGAGAGAAGAGGGAGCGAAUUUGUAGAGAGUUGGUGUGAUUAGUGUGGGAUAUGAUUAAGAGAGAGAGAGAGAGAGAGUGAUAAGGGUAAAAAUGGUGAUGUCACACACGACGUCAGCCGACGCCUCAUGUCUCGAUCGGCGCAACUGCACUCGAUUAACCGAGCCGGAACACUGGCCGAGGCUCAUUAACACACUUGGUUCUUCACGCCACGCCAACCCCAUAUCAGACGCUAUCAGCCUGCCUCCUGCAGGAAGCCACGUCAAGUAACAUCAAACUCAUAUAUAAAUACCCCAGAGUUCUAAACGAACAGGGAGGGAGACGAUUUCACCCAAAAACUCCUCUCCCAAUCACUGACUUGAUCGUCGGAGGGGUCGGGCUGAACCGCCGACCCGACCUGUGUGCAGGUACUCAACUAAAGCCGAUCCAACCCGGCGUUGUGGAACUUUCCAGCCAGACCCCCGCAAUCGGCCGCCCCAAGAUCCCGAGAAGAGUCACGCCUGAUCCCGGCCAUUCGGACCCCUGAACCAGCCGCGUCGACCCCGAGGUCACGGCUAAAAAAGUUACUUACCAUAACAGAUUGGCGCUAGAAGGAGGGGCCCGAAUGUCGAGGGAUCCUCAGACUAAUCCCGACAAACUCCCUGCCGAGGGAUCGUUCUUAGCGGGGGCGCAGACCGUGCGUCCCUUGCGCGACGGGCCGCGGGCUGACGACCUCCCCGCGACCUCGGAACGCUACUAGCGUUCAUUCGACGACCCGAAUCUGCUUCCGCCGGAGGGCGCUCCGAGCGCCCCCUCGCCAGUGUCAUCCGAGGCCUUUCACGACCUCGCUCGUCAAGUCCGAGCUCUGACGGAUAUGGUGCAAACCAUCAUCCCGCCCGUCUCCCAACCGACACCCCCGCUUAAGACUCAACUGCUACGACAACAAGAGCCGCCCGCCUGGGCCCACGUGACGCCUCCGGAGCCUCCCGCUUCGCCUCGGGUCCGACCGACCCCACUCGGGGAUCCAGUGAUGGCAGACCCGAGCGGCCCCCCGGAGCCCGAAGUAUUAUCUCCGGAGUCAACGGAUUCCCUGCGAGCCCAGCUACACUUUCUUAGUCAGCGGCUCGACGAACUAGAGAAGGAGUUUCGCAACUCAGAGGGAGAGCUCGGGAUGGACGCAUACCGAGGAUCUCCGUUCGCACCAAAGAUACGAGAUCACGCAGUUCCCCCGAACUUCCAUCUCCCUUCUUCGGACGCAUACGAUGGCUCCACUGACCCAGCGGACCAUGUUGCCGCUUUCCGUGCCCAAUUGGCACUGUACGGAACGUCUGCGCUUCAAUGUGCAGGGCGUUUCCCACGACCCUGAGGGGUCCGGCCCGCACAUGGUACAGCGGCCUGAAGACCGGAACGAUCACUUCCUUCGGCCAACUCGCCAAGGACUUCGAGCUCCACUUCGUAGCCCAUGCCCGGCCAAAGCCCUCCGCGACACUGCUCCUCGGACUCAAACAAAGAGAGGACGAGCCCCUCUCACAUUUCGUGGACCGCUUUGCCACGCAAAUCCGGAGCUUACCAGACACUCACCCCUCUCUGUUAGUUCAGGCGUUCAUGGUAGGCUUGCGACCUUCCAAAUUCUGUUGGUCCCUCGUAGAGCGACCCCCCACCACAGUACCAGAUAUGCUCCAGCGAGCUAACCGGUACAUCGCGGCGGAAGCUUGGGUGACCGCAAGGAAGAGGAGUGACUUUGGGCGACGGGCCCCGUAGCAGCGGUCAAGCAUCCGCGGUUGCUAUCCGGUGUAAUCCUCGUGCAAGGAAUCUAGCCCCUGCCUCAGUCUCUUCCAAGCGAAGGCUCCAUGUUUACCUGACCGCCUCUUGGCUCACGGUUAGCUUCGGCCUAACCCCCUCUUUUUUGCAUUCGCAUGGCUCGGUCGUAGACGGCCCGAGUCCACCUCAGCGCGGCCUGCGCGCCUGAGCAUUGCCCCUCGGUCGCAGCCUACCUGCGCCGAGCACCUCGGCCACACAUUGCCGAGAUCCACCUCGGCGCGGCUUGUCCGCCUGUGUCGUGCUACUCGGUCGCAUGGUGCCCGAGACCACGUCUGCGUGUCCUGCCCGCCUGCGUCGUGCUACUCGGCCGCAUGGCCCUCGCGACCAUGCCUGCGCGGUCUGCUCGCCUGCGUCGUACUCCUCGGCAGCAUGAUGCCCGAGACCACACCUGCGCAGCCUGCCCGCCUGCGUCGUGCUCCUCGCUCCCAUCAUCCCCGAGACACACCUGCGCGGCCAGCCCGCCUGCGUCGUGCUCCUUGGCUCCAUGUUCCCGAGACACACCUGCACGGCCAGCCCGCCUGCGUCGUGCCCCUCGGCUCCAUACUCCCCGAGACACGCCUGCGCGGCCAGCCUGCCUGCGNNNNNNNNNNNNNNNNNNNNGGCAAGAAAGAAUGAGGAUUUGACGUUUACGUUACUCAACUCUUUAAUCACUCUCUCGCUCUCUCUCUCUCUCUCUCUCUCUCGGUUUGACUCCGCAGAUAUGUAGAGAGAGCAACAACGACACCUCGACGGGAAUUACGUCGAGGAGGUUGUAUGCUCUUUUUACAAUUUUCUGAAAUAACCUAAUACGUAACAAAAAUUAAAAUGUUAACGAGAUUGGCAGUUCAAAACUUCAUUCGAUAAAUAUGAUGAUGUCUCCCAAGUUUAACCGAUUAAGAAGUUAAUUAUUUUAUAGUAAAAUCUAAAAUUAAAAUGUAAAAAAAAGUCAAUCGUAACUGUACAAGCCAUGCCUUUACGUACUAAUUUAUAAUAUUUAUCCUAAUCGAUUUGAUAUUGUUAUCUUUAUUGAUAAAGUUUACUAUUAAUAAUAAUUUUUUACUAUUGACAACCCGCUUGCUAUUGAUAAUUUUUUAAAAAAUAAAAUAUUAUUUUACUAUUUAUAGUCCUUAUAUUAACUAUUUUUUAUCUUUUUUUUAUAACCUCUUAUUUUAUUCUUGCUACCGACAUCCUUUCAAUUAUUGACAUUAUCGCUCACAGUUAUCGUCCGACCCUACUCAUCACCUCUUGAUAUUGACUUUCUAGAAGAAAAAUAUUGAGGAGAAAUUUGAAGAAGAGGAAGAUAUUUAUAUUUAUUUACAAAGAGUUUGUUUAGAAAUAUUAAAAAUUAAAAAAAAAUUAUAAAUGAUAAAAGAAACUUAAAAGUAGUAAUAUCCUUUUUGAUUAGUGGAUUAUGUUGCAUCUACCAACAUAGUUUUUGGAUGAAAUGAAGCUAAAAAGCAUUUCUAAAUCGGCAGUGAUAAAUUUGUUCUCAUUUUAGUCUAUUAUUGUUUUGCUUAUUUUAUAUCACUUAUUUGUGUAUCUCAUUUAGUGAUCUUUAUUUAAUAUAUAUAUUCUUAAUGAUGUCUCAUUUUCUUUUUUCUCUCUUGAUUUGCUUUGUUAUAUUUAUUUUAACAUUUAGUAAUAGAGAUAUGAGAAUAAUAACUUAAGAAAGACCAUCAAUAUCUUAACACCAUAUUAUUGAUACAUUAACGUCAUAUGAUCGACACUCAGUACUAUGUGACUAACAACUCUUUGCUACAUGAUCGAUACCUUAAUAUCAAAUGGUCAAUGCAUCAUCACCCCUCGAGUGCUGUGAUUACUGACUCAACCUUAUAAAAAUUAGUAUAUGAGAUCUAGCUUAACUAGUUGUUACUUCAUGUUCCUUAAAUGCGACGCUACAUGAUCACAUUUGUAGUCGAAGAAAAUACGUAAUCAUUUUAGACAUUAACCACACCAUUAAUCCAAAAAUCAAAUACUCCACUAUAAAUGCCCUCCAAGUAAAUUACACCUUUUAUAUUCGAUAUUAGCUUGAAUCUUUCGAACUUUUUAUUAAUUUAAAUAUCGAAGAGAUCUUAUCGCUCUCUACGUAAUUCUUUUUCAUAAUAUAUCUUACUGAACCUGCUCUGCCCUUCUCUUGACAUCAAGUUUGUGAUAGAUUUAGACUCUAAUCAAGAUUGACUUUUUACCGUCUACGAAAAAUCAAAUUCUAUUCAGCAAACUAUUGCCAUGGUAGUCAUAAAAUAUAAAACCAAAAUCAUGAAUCACAUCCUCAAAUUGUUAGAUUUUACUAAUUAGAUUUUUUAAUUCUCAUAGUUUUAUUUACUAUAAAAGUACUUAAACUUCUCCAACUACACGUACAUGGAAGAGACAGAGUGAAAUCUAUUAUAUUAUUUGCUCUAUGAGCCUGUCAUCAAUCGGUCUAUCCAGUACAUAUCAGUCUUUUUAUUAUAAUAUUAUUUUUAAUAAAAUGAUAAUAAUAAAUAUAAUUUUAGAAAAAAAAUAUAUUUCUUUUUUCACAUCAAAUUAAAAAUAUAAAAGUAGAUGCUUAGGCUAAGUUUAGAUUGGGAAUCUUGAAACAUAAAUUCUUAUUUGUUAUUUUUAUAAAAAUAAAUGAAUAAUAGUUGUUCGACGUAGUUAAGAUGUUAGGAAUAUGAGUGAUUCCGGUCAAAACCCAAAAAAACUACAUCCAAACUUGGAGUUCAAAAGAUGUAGUUAACAAGAGAAAUAUAUAGCUAGUCUCGUAUCUUACCCUCGUUGGAUAGACUAUAAUGGCCAUUAGAAAUCAAUAAAUGAUAAAGCAUGUUAAGAUGAGAAGAAGGCAUCAACAAUGUCAAUAAUGGAAGGAAUCAUAUUGGGAUUUGACUACCGACUACAAUAUAAACUUGGCUCGAUGGAUCGAUUUGUGCAUUUACUUCGUGGGGCCUUAAGCCAUGUUAAAGAUUGUGUAAUAGACCCGGUUGGAUUGGGUUGUUGAUCCAUCAAUCCUACCAGCACUGUGAUAGAUAGCAAGACAUGUUAUUAUAUGAUAUUAGCAUGGGUUAUCCAAAUGUACUACAACUAUUAUGGAUAAGGAUUCUAUUUCAGAGGUUGACUUAAAGUUCAUCUUACAUUGAGAAGAUGGAUUUAUGUAUCAAAAUGUGUAUUAGCUAUAUUUAUAUUAUUAGAGGUAAUAUAGCUUAUCUUUAAAAAUUUUUAAUUUUAUUUUAGGGUGAAUUCUCAGAAAAUUCAUAUAGCACUUUUUUUUUAUUUUUGAAUUUUUUUCCGUUGAAUACCCUAAUUUUUCUUCCUUUAUAGAAAUGUCACAAAAGAUUUUUUUUAUUUUUUAGUUUGAGAGCAUUUUGGUAUAUAUAAAAAAAAGGAUGCGAUGUCAAAAAGUUAAAAACAAAUAGACGGUUUACAAGAAAAAGAAAAAAAAAGGGGACCCUUCUAGGGAUUUUUUUUGACGUGCAAUAUACUUAAAACAUAAUAUAUAAAUAUUAUUUAGAUAAGCACUUUGUAUGAAGGAGACAUUAUAAUUAUAAUAAUUUCAAUGAUAUUAUAAUAUUUAUUAUAAAUAAUAUGACAAACAUGUUGAGAAUAAAUAAUAUUAUAUAUAAUAUAAUAUCAAAUAUAAUAGUUUUAAUUAGAAUAUAAUAUUUAUUAAAAGUAAUGUGAUAAAUGUAUUGAGAAUAAUAAUAUAAUCGACACUUCCUUACAAUCGCAUGUCGAUGUCAGGUGAUAAAUAUGUUGAGAAUAUAUAAUAUAACAUAAUAUGUUAUUAUAAUAUAAUAUUUAUUUGAAUAAGGGGAUAAAUAUGUUGAGAAUAAUGACAUAAAUUACGCUUGCAAUCAUAAAUGUGUUGAGAAUAUAUAAUAUAAUAUAAUAAUUUUUAUUAUAAAAUAUAAUAUAAUUAAAAAUGUCGAAGCAAUGGAUAAACAUGUCGAGAAUGUUAUAAUAUAAUAUAAUAAUGUUUAAUUAUAAUAUAAUAUUUAUUAGAAUAACGACAUGGCCGACACUCGCUUGCAAUGACAUGUCGUGUGUGUGAGGUUACAGCGGCAACUCUACAAAAACCAGCUGCAUUUGGCCGGUCGAUGACGCAGAGAGGGCAUCUGUGGUUCUCCAUGGAACUGCUGCAGCUCCCUUCCAUCCCAGUCUUGGUGUUCUCCUUCCUCUUCUUGCUCCUCUUGAUCAAGAAGAGAGGAUUCACCGGGUGCAGAAAUGAGAGCCACCCACCACGUCGUCCACCAGGCCCAUGGAAUCUACCCUUCGUCGGAUGCAUGCACCACCUGGUCGGGCAGCUCCCCUUCCGCGCAUUCCGCGAGCUCGCCCGCAAGCAUGGCCCCCUCAUGCUCCUCCGGCUCGGCCAGGUCGACGUCGUCGUCGUCUCCUCGCGCGAAGCCGCCGAGGAGAUCUUGAAGAACCAGAGCGUCACCUUCGCUUCCCGGCCCGAGCUCCUCUCUACCAAGUUCGUCUUCUACGGCCCAACCGGCAUCGUCUGGGCCCCCUACGGCCCUUACUGGCGGCAGCUGCUCAAGCUCUGCUGCAUGGAGCUGUUCUCCGCCGGGCGCAUCCGGUCGUUCUCCCCCAUCAGGACGGAGGAGACCCUUGACCUGAUGAGAGACAUCGCGAGGUCGGGCGGAACCACCGUCAACCUGACCGAGAAGCUCUUCGGGCUGUCGAACGCCAUCGUCUGCCGAGCGGCGUUCGGCAAGCGGCGCAAGCACCGGGAGAGGUUCAUCCCGGUCAUCAAGGAUGCUCUGGCGCUCUCCAGUGGUUUCCGCGUGGCCGACAUGUUCCCGUCGCUCAAGUUCAUCGACAUCCUCUCGGGUGCCGUGUUCAGGUUGCGGCGGCUCCGGCGGCAGCUAGACGAGAUCCUGGAAGACAUAAUCAAGGAGCAUGAGGGCAAGGCUUCCGCGAGCAGCGGCGACAAAGCUGGAGAGGUAGACGACCUAGUGGACGUGCUGCUGAGGCUCAAAGACGACCCCCAACUGGAAGUGCCCUUGACGAUGGAAAACGUCAAGGGUGUGAUCGUGGUAAGGAACGAUCCAUCGAUCGAUCGAUUCCCGUGAUACUAAUCUAUUGACUACCCACAUCGCUC
rnacentral:lncRNA from 1 species